GUUCGCUGACCAUACCAAGCUGGGAGGAGUGGCCGAUACACCAGAAGGCUGCGCUGCCAUCCAGUGAGACCUGGACAGGCUGGAGAGCUGGGCCCAGGGGAACUCAUUAAAUCCAACACAAGCAAGUGCCAGGUCCUGCCCCUGGGGAGGAACAACCCCCCGCACCAGUACAGGUAAAAGAAUGAACUUUCGUCUGUGAUGAAUUAAGAGCUGCCUGUUACCUUCUUUAGGGUCAUGUGUUUCUCUUCUGUUUGUUCAUACUAACUUUAUGGCAGAAUGUCAGCUGCCACCAUUUCACUAGUCACCCUUUUUCUGCCAUGAAAGUACGAGACAGAUGGAAAGAAUCCAUAGUGGUCUGCAGUACAAGGCUCGACCCUGGGUUUCCCUGAAGCACAGUCUCAACACGAUGUGUGCCAGGCAAGUUUUUUGAGUGAUACAGCAGUGAAGAGCAGCUUGAGGUGGGUGCCCCUGGAGAGGGACCCAGAAAAAAGGAACCUCUGGGCAAUUAUACCCUUACAAUCUAAGUUUCCCUCCCCUCACCCGAUGGUUUGGUCCAAUAGCAAUAUUUGGGUCUGGGGUCUCCUUAUUCCUGAUUGGAUCCUUUCUCUGUCUCCAGGCAGGACAUCCCUUUUCUUAUCUUAAUGGAUGCAGCUUCUGCUGAAGGUUGUGGCUACCUUGUCUGGUUUGCACUGGUUCCGGGGCCUUCCUUCACGUAGCUAAGUAAACGUUCAGUGUGUGGUCAGCAUAUCUAAGUGAAAGUUCCCAGUUUGUGGCCUUAAGGCUUUAGCAAGCCUUGCUACUGAUGCCACGUAUUGGAUUCCAUUUGAGCUAGGAUGUGACUUCUACAGUCGUCUGUUUCUGUGUGCUUACUAUUAAAUGAUACUGUGAAAAUAAUUUUGUACUAAAAGAGGAAAGAAACUGUUAGUAAGAGUUCAGAUGUUUAGAAGAAACAGACUUUGUUUUCUCGUGUCCUGGUUUUGGCUGGGAUAGGGUUAAUGUUCUUUCUAGUAGCUGGUACAAUGCUGUGUUUUGGAUUUAGUAUGA